GUAGGGAAUAUUGCACAAUGGGGGAAACCCUGAUGCAGCGACGCCGCGUGAGUGAUGAAGGCCUUCGGGUCGUAAAGCUCUGUCGUAUGGGACUAACACAAUGAAGGUACCAUGCAAGAAAGGAUCGGCUAACUUCGUGCCAGCAGCCGCGGUAAGACGAGGGAUCCUAGCGUUGUUCGGAAUCAUUGGGCGUAAAGCGGGUGUAGGCGGAUUUAUACGUCAGGUGUGAAAUCCCAGGGCUCAACCCUGGAAGUGCACUUGAUACUGUAAAUCUUGAGUGUGGUAGAGGUUACUGGAAUGGUUGGUGUAGUGGUGAAAUACGUAGAUAUCAACAGGAAUACCGGAGGCGAAGGCGAGUAACUGGGCCAACACUGACGCUGAGACCCGAAAGCGUGGGGAUCAAACAGGAUUAGAAACCCUAGUAGUCC
rnacentral:rRNA from 1 species